AGGUCUUGAGGUCAGGUAUUUGUCCAUCUACAGGUUCAUGUUUUAAGUUAUAAAGAGAAAUGUUAUUGUAAAUAAAAAUACAUUGUAUCCUUAGGUGAUCAGGUAGCAUCAUUCAGAAAGAUCCAGAUAUGGAUUACAGUACAUUGUCCCUGAAAUCUCUAGAGGACUAUGGAGUAUCUUCUGUUAUUUGAAGAUUUUGCAAUUGUAGGUCUACAGAUGUCACAUUCUUUGUCUUGGAAUCCAAUGGACUAUGGAGAGUUCUUGUUCUUCCACAACAAUAUCUCUGCCGUGAAAUCUGUCGGAGAUCAC